CCACUGGUCCUCUGCACCAGAGGCAUAGUAGUCGUAUACCAUCUUAGGCAACUUCUCCUUUGCAAUGGCUUCAUACUCGGUAACGUUUGUAAUCUCCAUUUUUCCAAACUGAGCCUCACGGGAGAGAGAUGAAGGUGUUUUUGAAAAUAUUGUUGGCAAUGGAUGAGAUUCUAAAGGUGAAGAAUGGAUAAGGAGAUACGGACAAAGAUCAGAUGGGAUAGUGUGUGUCUAAUUCACAAGCAACUUGAUAUAUAAAUCCAAGAGAUGUUGAAAGUGGAAGCAAUAAGCCUAAUGAUAACGUUCAAGCCCAAUCUUGUUUGGACAUUGGUAUGAUAGAAUGCUAGUUGUCUCUAUUGUAUAAGGAAGAAGAAUGGGACUGAAGGUAGAAGUAGGCAAAUAGCAUUACAAGGGAA